rnacentral:rRNA from 1 species
GACGAACGCUGGCGGCGUGCUUAACACAUGCAAGUCGAGCGAUGAAGCUCCUUCGGGAGUGGAUUAGCGGCGGACGGGUGAGUCACACGUGGGUAACCUGCCUCAUAGAGGGGAAGAGCCUUCCGAAAGGAAGAUUAAUACCGCAUAAGAUUGUAGUACCGCAUGGUAUAGCAAUUAAAGGAGUAAUCCGCUAUGAGAUGGACCCGCGUCGCAUUAGUUAGUUGGUGAGGGAACGGCUCACCAAGGCGACGAUGCGUAGCCGACCUGAGAGGGUGAUCGGCCACAUUGGGACUGAGACACGGCCCAGACUCCUACGGGAGGCAGCAGUGGGGAAUAUUGCACAAUGGGGGAAACCCUGAUGCAGCAACGCCGCGUGAGUGAUGACGGUCUUCGGAUUGUAAAGCUCUGUCUUCAGGGACGAUAAUGACGGUACCUGAGGAGGAAGCCACGGCUAACUACGUGCCAGCCGCCGCGGUAACAC